rnacentral:rRNA from 1 species
UACGGGGGGGGCAAGCGUUGUUCGGAAUUACUGGGCGUAAAGGGCUCGUAGGCGGCCAACUAAGUCAUACGUGAAAUCCCUCAGCUUAACUGGGGAACUGCGUGUGAUACUGGAUGGCUUGGAUUUGGGAGAGGGAUGCGGAAUUCCAGGUGUAGCGGUGAAAUGCGUAGAUAUUUGGAGGAACACCGGUGGCGAAGGCGGCAUCCUGGACCAAUAUUGACGCUGAGGAGCGAAAGCUAGGGGAGCAAACAGG